GACGAACGCUGGCGGCGUGCUUAACACAUGCAAGUCGAACGGAAAGGCCCUGCUUUUGUGGGGUGCUCGAGUGGCGAAAGGGUGAGUAACACGUGAGUAACCUGCCCUUGACUUUGGGAUAACUUCAGGAAACUGGGGCUAAUACCGGAUAGGAGCUCCUGCUGCAUGGUGGGGGUUGGAAAGUUUCGGCGGUUGGGGAUGGACUCGCGGCUUAUCAGCUUGUUGGUGGGGUAGUGGCUUACCAAGGCUUUGACGGGUAGCCGGCCUGAGAGGGUGACCGGCCACAUUGGGACUGAGAUACGGCCCAGACUCCUACGGGAGGCAGCAGUGGGGAAUAUUGCACAAUGGGCGGAAGCCUGAUGCAGCAACGCCGCGUGCGGGAUGACGGCCUUCGGGUUGUAAACCGCUUUCGCCUGUGACGAGGCGUGAGUGACGGUAAUGGGUAAAGAAGCACCGGCUAACUACGUG
rnacentral:rRNA from 1 species